rnacentral:rRNA from 1 species
AGUGAACGCUGGCGGUAGGCCUAACACAUGCAAGUCGAACGGCAGCACAGUAAGAGCUUGCUCUUACGGGUGGCGAGUGGCGGACGGGUGAGGAAUACAUCGGAAUCUACUUUUUCGUGGGGGAUAACGUAGGGAAACUUACGCUAAUACCGCAUACGACCUACGGGUGAAAGCAGGGGAUCCUCGGACCUUGCGCGACUGAAUGAGCCGAUGUCGGAUUAGCUAGUUGGCGGGGUAAAGGCCCACCAAGGCGACGAUCCGUAGCUGGUCUGAGAGGAUGAUCGGCCACACUGGAACUGAGACACGGUCCAGACUCCUACGGGAGGCAGCAGUGGGGAAUAUUGGGCAAUGGGCGCAAGCCUGAUCCAGCCAUACCGCGUGGGUGAAGAAGGCCUUCGGGUUGUAAAGCCCUUUUGUUGGGAAAGAAAAGCAGCAGGUUAAUACCCCGCUGUUCUGACGGUACCCAAAGAAUAAGCACCGGCUAACUUCGUG